CUGUCACCGUCGCCGACUGCAACGCAAUCCGCUGGCAGGAGCGGGGGAACCACUUUUGGAUCAACCAGCUGGUUGGUCCUUGGGGUUAAGUCAGUCCUCGACUGGCCGGGCAGCAACCUCCGCCCGAACCCGACAGCUCACCCCGCAGGCAUCGAGAGGUUCA
rnacentral:sRNA from 2 species